UCCAACUCCACAGAACCACCACCGACUUCCAAGCGGCGAACCAACCGCCGACACCAAUCACCACCGCCGCGGCCUCCCCGGCCCCGCCGCAACCGCAGGCAUGCCGCGGCCCCCGCCGCCGGGCCGCGGGACCCCGACGGGCGCCAGGCGGCCGAUCCGGGACUUCUUCGCCGCCUGGCUCGCCACCCUCCGCUCCCCGCUCCUCCCGCUGCUCCGCCGCGCGCUCUCCUCCUCCUCCUCGUCCGGCUCCUGGGACGACCCGCUCUCCUCCGUCGCCGCGGCCGUCGAGGCUCACUUCCAGGCGCACUGGUCCGCGCUCGACGCCGCCGCACGCCAGGACCCGGCGCGGGUCAUCGCCGCGGGGGACUGGCGGUCCCCGCUCGAGCUCCCCUUCCUGUGGCUCGGCGACGUCCACCCCUCCCUCCUUACCUCGCUCCUCCGCACUCUCUCGCCCUCGCCGCGACUCCUCGCCGCCGUCGAUCGCGUCGACCGCCGGAUCCGCGCCGCCGUCCCUGCCGUCUCCGACCGCCUGCGCCGGGCCCAAGAAGCCUUCGUGGCCGCCGAGGCUACCGGCGCCGCCGACGUGGAGGCGUUCUUGGAGGAACUCAUGGGCGUUGCACUCCAGGCCAACCGGCUCCGUCGAGGCGUACUCUCGGACCUCGUCGCCGCCGCCGGGGGGUACCAGGCGGCGCUGUACCUCGAGGCGCUCUCGCGCUUCGUGUUGUCUAUGCACGACCCCGAGGUGCUCCGCCGCUUCGACCAGUGCCGCGCCUCGCCCGGUAGCUAGUCACCUUUCUGUUCCCAAGGUUCGUGGCGUUUCUUUUUCUGUCGCUUCACUAAAUCACUUCUUUCGGUUGUGCACAAUCUUGGUUUCUGUAUUUUGGGGAUAACAGGUCCAUGUAUAUAAUUCAAGAAAAUGCCGCACAAAAAUAUUGUACAAUGGUUGUUAUGUGUAUAGCUUAGUGACAGUUUGUGUACAACCUUAUUCUGCAAAUCAUUUGCUGAAAUCAUCGAUGAACUCAAUGAGGGAAUGAUACCUAGGCCCGGUGAUUUCUGACAAAAAUGCUGCUUAUGUCACCACUGUUCAAUGCUUAUUUGGAUACAUUUUGGCAUUCAAUUGUCUGCAAAUUUCAGAUACUUUAAUAGUUUGAGCACUUGGGCAUCUUAUUUGAACUUGAGCAUCUUAUUUGAAAUGUGUAUGCUGCAGACAACACAUGUAUAGUCUAUAGGUUGCUCUAUCGGGUGUUUAGUUUGAGGAAUCACCUCAUCUAGAAUGGAAUGGUUCAUCAUUGGUCAUCCCAUGAACUUUUAAUGGGAUGAAACCAUUCCUCAUUAUUAAGCUAACCAUGAAGCUUUGUGAGGGAAACAUGGUGAUGGAUCAACCGAUUUCAUUCAAAAAACUGGACAAAAAUGUCAGUCCGAAGGUGCAACUCAUUCCUGAAACCGAACACUCCAUUAAAAUUUGCUCGCGUGUAUAUUUGUUUUGUGACAUCUAAAAUUGACUUAUGCAGGUAUUGAGUGACGUACAAAACACUUGUUUCAUUGUGCAUGUUUUUCCUGAUUUUGUUUUCCUUCUUUAGUACAGCUGCACGUCAUCGUAUUGGAGAUAAGCUAUUAAGCUUUGCCUGGAUUGCACUAUGACCUCACAAUUAGUAUCUUUUAUGUCUAAACCUGAGAUCUAGUGUGCACUGGUUGCUUACAGUGCCAAUGUUUUCCUAUGCCAGUCCUUUGUAAGUCAGUUUUAAUCGCCUCUUCUGCACUUUACUUGAUUUGGAGUACAUUAUUACAGUUAAAAGUAAUUUGGAAAUACUUUCUGCCUGCUAGAUGAAUAGGAUGACAACUCACCGUAUCUUAGACAAAUGGGUCUCAAGCGUAAUUCACACAUAUAAGUGAUAUGCCACCAGCCCACCAGAUAAUUUCACUACAAAUGAUAAAGACAGCAGCGCUUCAAUGUUGUCGUAUUUAUUAGGUAUUGUUGUUUAAGUGCCUCUUUGUCCAACUCCAUCAAUUUGCCUCCAAACACAUAUAACUUGUUUGGUACAUUGUUUCAAUGGUCUAGCAUGGUACUGGUAUUCUGGAACAAGUAUUUAUGCCUGUGGUAGCAGAGGCCUUAACUGAGGUUCCUAGUAUUUGCUGCCUACUGUUAAUACGUCAAUUGAAAGUAUAGCCACCUAUGAAUUUAUCAUCACUGACAGUUUUGCUGGUUAGGUCCAGCACUUGGUUAAGCUAUCAGUAGGGAGUCUAUUACUUACUAAAUUGUGGGUUCAAAAAAUAUAUUAUCAGAAUCAGGAACUUUACUAGGAAUUGUGCAUUAUCCGCAGAGCUGCACAUGGUGGGUCCUACUUCAUUAGCACUCUAUUGCCUUGGGUUGUAACAAAUCUCAAACAUAAUAUAGAUCAUUACAUCUAGGCACUACAUGUAAGACUUCAAAUGGAUCAUCAAGCCGUGGAUUCUGAUAAAUCACAUGGCUAGAUCUGUGUCCAGAUCUAUCCUUCAUAAAGGAUCCUUAGUGGAACUUGCACAUGCAUACGCAAAUUAAUCCUGAGAAAAUUCUUCGAGGUUAAAGCAGUUCAACCUACCACCACCACUACAAUCUUUUUGAAGCAGCGAAGAUAUUUGGUAGGGACUUCUGCUAGUUACAAUCUGGUAUGUAGAGCUUUAAGAAAAUUGGCGCUUUGACUUAAACUGAGCACUAUUUCAAGGUGAAAUGUUUAUAUCACCCGCUAAAAUACCAUGAAGAACAACAUCAAUGAUUCAUUUGCCUGCUCAUAUAGUGUAUUAUUCUGCUGAGAAAGGUAUUGACCAUAGAGCACAUCUAAAAAAAAAUAUAUUAUUAGUGUUCUUAUCACUUCAAUGAGGAGCACAGCAAAGUUUACAGCCAUGAAAUGUCUCUGACCUGACACAACAUUUGGUAAACCUUAAUUGAAAAAACUCGAUCAAGGGAGAAUGCAUCAUGUCUUGGAUGCACACUUAUAGAUUCUCAGUUCUACUUUGUCCUUUUGACCUUCCUUUGUAUAACUGUAUGCCGCUGGGCUAAAUUUAUCUGUGUUAGACUUCAGAAUUAUUUAUCGAGAAACUGGACCAGUUGUAGCAUGUAGAAUUUGGUUAAAAAAGACUAGUUAGCACAGAAUUCUAUGCUUUAUGUGGUCCAAAGCAGCAAGAAUUCAUAGUAGUACAAGAAACAUGGAAAUAAUAUGUAUACUGGAUACUUGUGGUCCAAUGUAAGUUCAAUAUCUGAUCUACGGUCUUAUACUAAGUAAAUAAUGAAGUCUGUGUUGGUUAGCAUCAGGAACUUGUCAUGGUCAUAAAGAACAGUAUCUUUACAGUUCUUCCAUGUGGCAUGUGAACAGCGCACUGCUGGGUUAGGUGAUGGUCUCCAAAAGUGCACUCAAAGGUCCCGAUAUUCACAUAGUAGAUCCAUUGGUUGAAUGGACCUACUUUGGAAUAAAGGCCUCUGGGGUUCAUGUAGUUUCCAGUCUGGCAGUUGCACAUACAGGCAUCUUUGGGAAGCACGAGAUGGGCUAGCAAGUGCUGAAGCAGUGCGAACCAAACCAAGACGAUUAAGUAUAAUAUUGUUUGAUACUCUUCUCCCAGUUAUUAGAUACGAUUGGGUACAUAUACAAUGGCUGCCAAUUGUCAACAUGCAAGUUUUCAUAACCGAU